rnacentral:lncRNA from 1 species
GCCCGUCUCCUUGUCUUCGGAACCCCAUUGUUGAUUAAGAUUCAGUUUAAAACCGUCAAUUCAUCUUGCAAAUUCAGUGCUUGUUUCCUCGUUCUUGCUAGUUCUUCGAUUGCUUGCAGGACGGGGGCCCUAGGGGCUGGUUGUCGCGCUCCACAAGAUCGUGACGGCUGUUGGACGUGGUGUAUCGGUUGCUAAGGCGCGGUCUUGAGGGCUGU